rnacentral:rRNA from 1 species
UACGUAGGGUGCGAGCGUUGUCCGGAAUUAUUGGGCGUAAAGGGCUCAUAGGCGGUUUGUCGCGUCGGGAGUGAAAACACCGGGCUUAACUCGGUGCUUGCUUUCGAUACGGGCAGACUAGAGGUAUGCAGGGGAGAAUGGAAUUCCUGGUGUAGCGGUGAAAUGCGCAGAUAUCAGGAGGAACACCGGUGGCGAAGGCGGUUCUCUGGGCAUUACCUGACGCUGAGGAGCGAAAGUGUGGGGAGCGAACAGG